ACAGUGAUAGUUUGGUUACCUGUGUCGCGAUAGUAAAAAUUAUCACAGAGACAGCGUCCAUACGACGAUAUAUGACUCUCGGUAAUUGAGGAGUGAAUUUCGAGAGAAACGUCUAUGAAAGUGCAAUACGACAGUAGCGUGAUUACGUCGUAGUUCUUCUCCAUCGGCAAUAAUUGGAUCAUUUAGAGUCAAACAAUUUAAUAGUUCCAUUAAAAACACGCGUAAUACUUGAAUUUAAAUUUAAAUAUGAGUAGGUAAUUACGAAUUAAGAUUUGUGAACUAUUAAUUAAAAGUUAGUCAAAUAAGAUUAUUAAAAUGAUAGUACGUGCAGGGUUGG